CCUCGGGUGGCAGCAGUGGGGAAUAUUGGACAAUGGGCGAAAGCCUGAUCCAGCCAUGCCGCGUGUGUGAAGAAGGCCUUCGGGUUGUAAAGCACUUUCAGUGGGGAAGAAAGCCUUGGGGCUAAUACCCUCGAGGAAGGACAUCACCCACAGAAGAAGCACCGGCUAACUCCGUGCCAGCAGCCGCGGUAAUACGGAGGGUGCGAGCGUUAAUCGGAAUUACUGGGCGUAAAGCGCGCGUAGGCGGUCUGAUAAGCCGGUUGUGAAAGCCCCGGGCUCAACCUGGGAACGGCAUCCGGAACUGUCAGGCUAGAGUGCAGGAGAGGAAGGUAGAAUUCCCGGUGUAGCGGUGAAAUGCGUAGAGAUCGGGAGGAAUACCAGUGGCGAAGGCGGCCUUCUGGACUGACACUGACGCUGAGGUGCGAAAGCGUGGGUAGCAAACAGGAUUAGAUACCCGAGUAGUC
rnacentral:rRNA from 1 species